GGGCCCGCACAAGCGGUGGAGCAUGUGGUUUAAUUCGAUGCAACGCGAAGAACCUUACCAGGGCUUGACAUACUGUGAAUCUCUUGGAAACGAGAGAGUGCCUUCGGGAACGCAGUGACAGGUGGUGCAUGGCUGUCGUCAGCUCGUGUCGUGAGAUGUUGGGUUAAGUCCCGCAACGAGCGUAACCCUUGUUUUUAGUUGCCUUUCGAGGAUAUUUAGAAAGACUGCCGAUUAUAAAUCGGAGGAAGGUAAGGACGACGUCAAGUCAUCAUGCCCCUUACACUCUGGGCUACACACGUGCUACAUUGGGUAGAACAAUAAGUUGCUAAGUUGCGAAACCAAGCGAAUCUUCAAAUCUACUCUAAGUUCGGAUUGUAGGCUGCAACUCGCCUACAUAAAGAUGGAAUC
rnacentral:rRNA from 1 species